AUGGAUUCGACCUUAGAUAGAAGAGCAUUCCAAUCCAUCCUAGAAAGCCGCCGACCAGCCAAAGGAAGUCCAAGACCGAUAAAAGGCAAUGUAGAAGUGGAGCAGUUAAGCCAGCAGGCAAUUUCGUCUACAUAGUCAGAGCCAAUUAAAGAAAUAGAGCUCUUCUAAUAGUUAAUGGAUAAUCUAGAGAUAUAUUCAAAGCAGUACAAAAUAAGUUUCAAAGAGGU
rnacentral:lncRNA from 1 species